rnacentral:rRNA from 1 species
AACGAACGCUGGCGGCGUGCUUAACACAUGCAAGUCGAACGAGAAAAUCCUGGCUUGCCAGGAUGAGUAAAGUGGCGCACGGGUGAGUAACACGUGAGUAAUCUGCCCCUAAGUUAGGAAUAACAUUGCGAAAGCGAUGCUAAUACCUGGUAAGCCCACGACUUCUUCGGUAGAUGUGGGAAAAGGUGGCCUCUGACAUAAGCUAUCACUUAGGGAUGAGCUCGCGGACCAUUAGCUAGUUGGUAGGGUAACGGCCUACCAAGGCUGAGAUGGGUAGCCGGCCUGAGAGGGUGAACGGCCACACUGGAACUGAGACACGGUCCAGACACCUACGGUGGCAG